rnacentral:lncRNA from 1 species
GCAUAAGAACAAUUCUCAAAUUGCAGUGUCAAUUAAGAAAAUAUAGUUUGGUUGUUGGCAUCUAGUAUGCCAUUCAAAACAUAUGGUUACUCAGAUUCAAUAUAAAUGUAAAUGACGAAAAAGAAAAGAAUAAAAUAUAUAAAAUGCAUUAAUUAAUUUAACAUGGACUUUUAUUAAAUUAAUUAUGCUCCCACUGUUUAAAUAAAAUUUAUGACCCUCUCACAUAAAUUUAUGGAGUCCAUGCUUGACUCCCAGUGGGCUGGGAUCCCAUCUAUUAUAUUAAAACAUUGAGUGUACUCAACAAGCCCUAAUAUAAU